rnacentral:rRNA from 1 species
UAGGGAAUCUUCGGCAAUGGGGGGAACCCUGACCGAGCAACGCCGCGUGAGUGAAGAAGGUUUUCGGAUCGUAAAGCUCUGUUGUUAAGGAAGAACGAGUGUGAGAAUGGAAAGUUCAUACUGUGACGGUACUUAACCAGAAAGGGACGGCUAACUACGUGCCAGUAGCCGCGGUAAUACGUAGGUCCCGAGCGUUGUCCGGAUUUAUUGGGCGUAAAGCGAGCGCAGGCGGUUAGAUAAGUCUGAAGUUAAAGGCAGUGGCUCAACCAUUGUAGGCUUUGGAAACUGUUUAACUUGAGUGCAGAAGGGGAGAGUGGAAUUCCAUGUGUAGCGGUGAAAUGCGUAGAUAUAUGGAGGAACACCGGUGGCGAAAGCGGCUCUCUGGUCUGUAACUGACGCUGAGGCUCGAAAGCGUGGGGAGCGAACAGG